GAACCUGCCAUUUAUUGAUAAUUGUUAUGGGACUGUGAUUAAUGUUUGUGUCUGAUUCUAGGAAAUGGGAUCAAAAAGGAGCACUGAGAUAACCUGAAUAAUGCCAAAAGAGUUCACAGGUCUACAAAUCAAAAACCAAUUCAGUAUUCAGAUAAGAUUAGCACUUCUGGCAUGAGGACUUCCUGAGCUCUCUUCAGCAAACCUGAGUAUAUUCUUUCUGGAGAAAUGAAAGAGAGGAUUUCAAAGCAUUCCUGAGGAAAUGACCAAACCUAAGUAGAAAAUCUUAAAUCUACACACAAGAUCCAAGAGAAGAUAUAAAAGGUAUCACCUCACACCUAUCAGAUUGGCUAACAUGACAACAAAGGAAAGUAAUGAAUGCUAGAACAGAUGUGGUAAAGUUGGGACAUUAAUGCACUGCUGGUAGGGUUGUGAAUUGAUCCAACCAUUCUGGAGGACAAUUUGGAACUGUACCCAAGGGGAGCUAAAAGACUGUCUGCCCUUUGAUCCAGCCAUAGCACUGCUCGGUUUAUACUCCAAAGAGAUAAUAAUGAAAAAGACCUCUACAAGAAUAUUCAUAGCUACGCUCUUUGUGGUGGCAAAAAACUGCAAAAUGAGGAGAUGCCCUCCAAUUGGAGAAUGGCUGAACAAAUUAUGGUAUAUGUUGGUGAUGGAAUACUAUUGUACUCAAAGAAAUAAUGAACUGGAGGAAUUCCAUGUGAACUGGAAUGACCUCCAGGAGUUUAUGCAGGGUGAGAGGAGCAGAACCAGGAGAACAUUGUACACAGAGACCUAUGCACUGUGGUACAAUCGAAUGUAAUGGACUUCUCCAUUAGUGGUGAUGCAUCGAUCCUGAACAACCCAGAGAGAUCUACAAGAAAGAACACUAUCCUCAUACAGAGGAAAAACUGUAGAAGCAGAAACACCAAAGGAAAACAACUGCUUGAUUACAUGGGUUGAGGGGAUAUGAUUGGGGAUGUAGACUAAAUGAUCACCCUAGUGCAAACAUCAACAACAUAGAAAGAGGUUCUGAUCAAGGACACAUGUAAAACUCAGUAGAAUUGAGCAUCGGCUAUGGGGUGGGGUGGGGGGAAUGGAGGGAGGGAAAUAAUAUGAUUUUUGUAACCAAGGAAUAAUGUUCUAUAUUGACUAGAUAAAAUUUUCAAAAAAAACAGUUUGGAUGUUUGCUUAUUUGUCA